AUGGCCGACGUGGGUCAAAGUGUAGAAUCUGUUCUUAUCAGCUUAAUAUAUCAUACGGGUUGUAUUUGGACACAAGACAUUAAACUUAUUUGUGCAAGUUGGCGGAGUGCUUAAAACCAGCUUCACCUCCGCCGCGGGUGGGCCGGGUAUUGCGCUAUCCUCGGCAUUUUUGGUCUACGGACA